rnacentral:rRNA from 1 species
CUCGGAAUUCCACUCACCUCUCUCGAACUCAAGACUAACAGUAUCAAAGGCAGUUCCGAGGUUGAGCCUCGGGAUUUCACCCCUGACUUAUUAAUCCGCCCACGUGCGCUUUACGCCCAGUAAUUCCGAACAACGCUAACCCCCUCCGUAUUACCGCGGCUGCGGCACGGAGUUAGCCGGGGUUUCUUUACCAGGUACCGUCAUUAUCUUCCCUGGCGAAAGAGCUUUACAACCCUAGGGCCUUCAUCACUCACGCGGCAUGGCUGGAUCAGGCUUUCGCCCAUUGUCCAAGAUUCCCUACUGCUGCCUUCCGUAGAAGUCUGGGCCGUGUCUCAGUCCCAGUGUUGCUGAUCAUCCUCUCAAACCAGCUAUAGAUCGUCGGCUUGGUAGGCCAUUACCCUACCAACUACCUAAUCUAACGCGGGCCGAUCCUUUAGCGAUAAAUCUUUCCCCCUUGGGGCGUAUACGGUAUUAAUCAUCGUUUCCAAUGGCUAUUCCGUACUAAAGGGUACGUUCCCACGCGUUACUAACCCGUUCGCCGCUGUCCCGAAGGACCGCUCGACUUGCAUGUAUGAGGCC